rnacentral:rRNA from 2 species
UCGAGAAUUUUUGACAAUGGGGGAAACCCUGAUCGAGCGACGCCGCGUGGAGGAUGAAGGUCUUCGGAUUGUAAACUCCUGUCAUUUGGGAACAAGGUGCACACGUUAACUGCGUGCGUAUUGAUAGUACCAGAAGAGGAAGAGACGGCUAACUCUGUGCCAGCAGCCGCGGUAAUACAGAGGUCUCAAGCGUUGUUCGGAUUCAUUGGGCGUAAAGGGUGCGUAGGCGGCGCGGUAAGUCGGGUGUGAAAUCUCGGAGCUUAACUCCGAAACUGCAUUCGAUACUGCCGUGCUUGAGGACUGGAGAGGAGACUGGAAUUUACGGUGUAGCGGUGAAAUGCGUAGAUAUCGUAAGGAAGACCAGUGGCGAAGGCGGGUCUCUGGACAGUUCCUGACGCUGAGGCACGAAGGUCAGGGGAGCAAACG